UACGUAAGGGGCGAGCGUUGCUCGGAAUUACUGGGUGUAAAGGGCUUGUAGGCGGGCUUACAAGUCGAGUGUAAAAGACCACGGCUCAACUGUGGGAAUGCAUUCGAAACUGUAAGCCUUGAGUCUGAUGGAGGGUAAUGGAAUUCCCGGUGUAGCGGUGAAAUGCGUAGAGAUCGGGAAGAACACCGAAGGCUAAAGCAGUUACCUAUGUCAAGACUGACGCUGAGGAGCGAAAGCAUGGGGAUCAAACAGG
rnacentral:rRNA from 1 species